UUUCCUUUACAAAAUACGUGUUGAGCUAUGUAGUUUUCAAAAAAACAAUUUCGCUUCCUAUCGCAAUUUAAUUUGAGCGGAACCUGUCCUUGAAAGGGGUGCGAUCAGUGCCAGAAACAAAACUGAUGAUAGUUUCGGAAUAAAAGGUGAAAAAUUGUCUAUCAAGAAAUAAUUCUCUACGUUUUUGUACACUACAUAUUUGCCUAAUUAAAUUAAUUCUGAUAAGAGAAUUUUCACACACAUUUAACGCUACAGUUACUAUGGUUAGCCCACGUACAUUUGUGCUUUUUACGUUUCUUGUUUUCUGGGUUUUUGGGUCAAUGGCAAUAAUGGAGCCAACUCAAGGAUGUAACGAGACCAAUAUCCAAAACCAAAGGGAUUGCAAUGCAGUUUGUCUUAUGUACGGUCACACAGGCGGAUUCUGCUCGCUUGACAUCUGCAUUUGUCACUAGUUAUCAAAUACAGUUUGGUUUUCGGAUUUAUCCCAAGGUGAGCUGUGUUGAAGUGUUAUGCGAUUCUGCGAAGGCCAUGACGUUGGAUAGACGGUGAAAACGCUCCAUGUUUAAUAUAUAUUUGCUUCAUUGUAACAUAAAAAAACUACAUCAUAAACUUAUUUUGUUCUAGAUUCAAAUUACUACAAUAAACAAAAUUAACUCACUUUA